CGUCGACGCGAGCGCAGUAUCGCACCGCUCCCCACCCACCUCAGUCCCGCGCACGCCGCCAGUCGCUACGAACGUAUUACGUAUCAAAAAUUAACAAAAUACAAUGAAAGAGCCUAAGCGUUGCAAUUGGACGAAAAUACAAGGAGAAUUAAUCCAUCUAGUAAAAAAAUAUAAAGUAUAUGAGAUGCAAGAUGAAAAAGUAACGAUGGUAGCUUGGAAUAAGAUAUCCGAUGAUUUGAAACUGAGCGUGGACAAAUGUCGCAGACUAUGGGAUAGUCUAAGUAUGGUUUAUAAAAGAUUGAAGUUAAUGAUCAUAGAAGGAAAAUUGUCUGAGUCCGAAGCCCGCAAGAAUUAUUGGGUGGCAAAAUAUGUUGAUGGAAGUCUAGCUUUCCUCGAGCCAUUCGUUCUGAAAGCACCUCCAGACGAAAUCGAAAAGAUAAAAAACCAUGCGAAUACCAAGCGAAUUCUCUCACAUUUACUACGAUAUGACAUAGAUAAGAGCUCUUCCGUUCCUUCGUCAAGUCGCGUGAGGAAACGACGAUUUGAUCUAUCUAAUUUUACAGUAAAACACUGUUGGAAUACCAAACAAAAAUAUCCAUUAGAGACUUACAUGGAUGAUUUAGCACGUGCUGUAUGCACUUCACUACAACCUGCAGACCGUAGAAUGUUCAUUAAAGAAAUCGAUACAAUUGUAAGUGAUUUGUUGCAAAAAUGAAUAUUUUCUUUUUUUACAUUUACUCGUAUAGCUGACGUCGAAAUGGUCUUACUUUAGAAGAAUGAAGACGAUUCGGACAUCGAGUAGACACGAUUGUUAAUAACUUGUUGAUUAAACGUCUUAUAUAAAUUGUGAUAAUUAUCUUGCACUGUUUACUUACGUAACUGUUUGACGAAGUAGCUCGACUAGUUUCAAGUCACACUGGAGGCCUAUAGUUAUGAGCACAAGAAAGACGACGCGGCGAGCGUCACACGGUCAAUAUCUCUAAUAUUAAAACUAAACGAGUUACAUCGUCGAACAGUUAGACUAUACGUAUUUUAAUGUCUGAAGUAUAACUAGACAGAUAGCAUUUUGACUACAAGUCUUGCAUAAACUAAUUUUGUCUAUAUGAGGACAGGGUUGUUGGUUGUGUAUUGAACUAUGUUUAACUGUUAUAUUUUCUUUUGUAUUACUAGUUUAUAAGUUCUUAUAAUGUAACCAUUUACUGUUCAUCAAUAGAAAAUAAAAUACAGAAAUCUUUAGCUUCCAUUGCAGUCAUGUAUCAGAGCGCGUUCGGCGUUCUGAUUGGCCGGCUCGAAUAAACCGACCAAUCAGAACGCCGAAUGCGCUCUCGUUUCGGUUACUUUAAAUGUAAAGCAAACUCGUACUAAGGAUACGAGUCUAAUAUAACCAAAAAACAUACAAUAAUUACGUGAUUAAGGCCUAUAAUGCUAUUGGUUCGUUCACUUGAAAAAAAAUAUUGAUAGAAUCUUCAGAGUCAGCAAUAACAACUGAUCAAUUACGUUCGUAAUGUGCCUGUUUUGUCUGGAAACUUGUUAUUUCGUUAAUUGUUUUGCUAUCGCCUUAACGACCAUGUGGAAUUGUGAUAUCUCAGUGUUAAUGCACUGUUUUUAUAACAACUUGCAAGUGUUUUGAACUCUUACUUUGUAUGCAUUAAGGUUGAAAAUGUGAUAAUUUUAUUCGAUCUUUUUUAAUAUGUUUUAAUUUGUUAAUCAAACUGCUGUAUUCAUAGACAUUUAACGUUUACUUAAACCUAUUCCUUAGUUUCUGUUCCGAAAACAAACGCUAAGGAUUGGGUUAAAUAACCAUUAAAUGACUCUGAGUACGGCGGUUAGUUUUGGAGUAGGUAGACCAGGGCACGUCCCUAACUUAAAUGAAGACUUACUUGUUUCUAUACAAAUAAUUGUAAUAAACAUUUAUACUUAACAA